rnacentral:rRNA from 1 species
CAGCAGCCGCGGUAAUACGUAGGUGGCAAGCGUUGUCCGGAAUUAUUGGGCGUAAAGGGCUCGCAGGCGGUUUCUUAAGUCUGAUGUGAAAGCCCCCGGCUCAACUGGGGAGGGUCAUUGGAAACUGGGAAACUUGAGUGCAGAAGAGUAGAGUGGAAUUCCACGUGUAGCGGUGAAAUGCGUAGAGAUGUGGAGGAACACCAGUGGCGAAGGCGACUCUCUGGUCUGUAACUGACGCUGAGGCUCGAAAGCGUGGGUAGCAAACAGGAUUAGAUACCCCAGUAGUCCCUGUCUCUUAUAC